GUAAUGAAAAGACUGGGGAAGGGAAGGUGCCAGUCAACCCUCUAGUUUAAAAGAUUGGUGCCUUCAUGCUACAUUUCUGAUUAGUCUGCUAAGGGAGUGAGUCCUAAGGUCUCCUAGUAACUGCAAGGCUACUGUGUUCAGAGUGGGAAAGCAGGCUGAUAUUAAGGCAGCUGGAGCAGCUUUAAAGAUCUGGGGAACAGGAUAAAGGAUCCGUGGUCCAUACCUAGGUGGGGCCUCUCCUAACACCACCCAUGUUACCUACGACUUGCCUGCAAGCUCACAAUUUAAAAAGAGAAGUUGGACACAUAACGAAGAGGAAAAUUGGUAGAGGAGGAAUGUAGUUCAAAACAUGAGAGGUAAUCCAGAUCAGAAAUGGAGAGAGCUAGCCCAUAGUUGGGUGAUAAAUUCACUACUUGAUCCACAACAUUAAGACUUUCCACUUACUUUCAUCAAACUCUUACCUGGAAUGAUUUGGAUGAAGAUUAGGAGGGUGGCAAGGAGAAGAAAAAGGAUCCUCAUGGCUGAUGCUUGAUGCUGUCCUGUUUUUGCUCCACACCUAAGAAGACUGUUCAAAGCCUGGUGAGG